UGUCCCCUGCGGCAUUCGUAGUGCACCGGGUACCCCUUGAGCCUAAUUUUAUACUCAGGGAACGCUGUGGUUACAAUGUUGUGCAUACCUGAUUUUUCGGGGAGCCUGAUUUGUACUACGCGUUCCCCCCUGAACCUACCGGUUCAAGGGAAAAGGUGCGAUACGGUGCAGGCGGGGGGCAC
rnacentral:other from 1 species